CCGGGACCGAGGGCGCGCGCGCACCAUCACCGCCGCCGCCACCACUACUCCUAGCGCUGUGCUGAGAGUGUGUGUGUGAGUGUUUGUGUGUGUGUGUCUGCGUGUGUGUUUUUCCCCUCCCCGUCCACAGCUCCUCGCCCUCUCGUUCUUUUUUCCUCUGCCUCUCUCUAAAUGCCAUCGGCGCCUCCAUCUCUAUGUCACUCUUCCUUCACGUCUGCGGAAAAAAAAGCCUCCACCCGUCCAGCGUCCACUGCAGGUCAGUAAAUAUUUAGAUUUGCUCUGAAGCCGCCGCAUCCUAAAUGCCCCAUCCAAUGAGCUGCCGCUUCCCUCGGUGGCUUUGUAGCCUGUCUGUGAGCUCACUGACGGUCUGAGAAUGAUGGGAAACUUUUGUGAAUGUGCUUUUUUUUGGGUGCUAGAUUAAAUGACUAUAAACGAAAAUUAUGAGUAAAGCGGUAACAUUCUUUUAAUCUUUUUUUUUGACUGGACUUCAGUGAAGCCGGAGAUGAAGCUACCCGUUACACCUUCAUCUCUCCCCCUCAACAUCGCUCUGUGUGCACUUGGUGGAAUUUAAAAAAAAAAAGAAAAAAAAGGGGGGGGGGGGUAUUGUUGACAAUACUGGCUACAACAUCCAUAACGAGCGCCAUUGUUGCGUUUAAUGCUAACUGCUUUCUCUAUCCUUUUAUUUAUUAGCAGCGCAAGCGAAAUUUGCUUUGGUUGGCCGGGCUGAUAAUUAAGCUAGCAUUUCUUUUUCUUUGGCUCGCCUGAGUCAACGGAUUGAUAUGUAAAAAGGCUAAACGACAGCCGGUUUCACUUCUUAGAUUAUUUAACCUACACCUAAAAUAGCACAGAUGAGUGUUUUUAGCGACCCAUUACCUCUCGCAUUACCUGGUGGUGCAGGCGAGAAUCCCAUACAAGCCGUGAAAUUGAUCUGAUUACCUUUGCCGGCGGGUCAUAAGAAGGAGCUGGGCUUGCUGAGGCUGCUUUGCACCCCCACACGCACACACACACCCAGCCCGUUAUUAGUUUCCUCCAUCUCGUCUUUGGUCCUUGUGUCUCGAGAUGGCGGUGUGUUUGUGUGAGUGCGAGAGAGGGAGAGAGCCGCUGUUUAGAAUGAAUAGGAAGCUAAAUCAGGGGCAUCACACGCGCACAGUCACGGGCCAAAAAGCUCCAACGGUUAUUUGCACGCGGGGAGCAGAACACGAGAGAAACCCUCGGACACCUUGAUGUUUUUUUUUCUUCCCUUCAUUUUUUCGCUUCUUAGAAAAGAGGAUAGGAUUCGAUAGGAUAAAAAAAGGAUAAAAGGAUAAAAAAUACGGUGUUAUUAUUAAAAUAAUAUAAACUCGGAUUAAAAACGUAGAAGAAGAGCAGCGGACCGCUCGAGCGGAUAGCACUUUCACUCCAAUUUCCCGUCACAAUCGAAAUUUCGUUAUUGCAUGAGGUGUCAGAGAGGCUGCUAGCACUCCGAGCUCCACUUUAAACGCAUUUAAAUCACAAAGAUUAAUAACAUAAAUAAAAUAAAAUAAAAAAAAAUCAGCCAAACAAUUUAGUGCCUGAAUGAUGAAUGACUUCUGUUUGGAGAUGCACAAGACAAGAGGUGAAAAGGCCCUGCACCUCAAAUGAAAGAUUACAUCAGUGCGUCUGGCGAGACGUGAUAUAAAGAUAAGAAUCACAACUCAGUCAAUUGGCAGCCCCCUUUUUUUUCUUUGCUCUUUUUUUUCUUCUUCGUUGGGAAGAAUGACACAAAAUCUGAUGUGCUAGUUUUCUUUUCUUUUUCUUUUUAAACACACUCGAAGAAAAUGUGAUCAAUCCUUCAGCUCUUGCUCAUUUAAAUCGUUCUAGGAAAGCCAGUUCUGUUUUUAAGUUUCACGCGCCCAACAAGCAGAAUUUUACGCCCUAGUUUUGUUCUAAGAACCAGACUUGGUUCCCAUGCUGACAGAAAAGCAGCCCCACUUUUUUCUUGAAAAGACUAGAAAGGUGACAAAUGACUCACUGAGUAAGAAACAAAUAGGUUACCUGCGGUAAUAUACGGGUUUCAAAAUGUAUAAAUGAGCGCUUAACCAGUAAAAAAUAUCACAAUUUACAGCAUGACUAUAGCCCGUAGCAUUUUUAAUCACUGGCUGGGCAUCUCUUUUUUUUUUUCCACAGAAGCUCUUUGGAUUAUGUUCUUAUAUCGUGUGUUUUCUUGCGCC
ensembl:lncRNA